GGGCCGGUAGCUCAGCUGGUAGAGCAGAACACUCAUAAUGUUCCACGCACGGGUUCGAGCCCCGUCCGGCCCA
rnacentral:tRNA from 1 species